AAGAGAAGAUUAAAACAAAAAUGAACUUUUUCCAUCAAAACAAUGUAAUUACUUUACUUUUUAUACAAUAAAACAGUUUAAACAGUUAUUUCUUGAAUAGUCAAGUUCAGAAUAAAGAAAGAAAUUUAAUUAAAUCGAUUAUAUAAAACCCAAAAACAAGAAAAAACUUGCUACAAGAAUAUUGGCAACAACUGAAGUUUGAUAAAAAUGUACAAGUUAUGAUAUGCCUGCUGUUUUAUUUACACUUUCCUCUCUUAUAUUAAAAUCCUAAUAGGAUUUUAUCAUGAACUUUUUAUGUUGUCAAAUAUUUUUGAUUUGAGGUCUGCAUUCUUAGGUGGGUUGAAGUUAGUGAUUUAAAAAAAUAAAUAAAUAAAAAAUUUAAACCUCAUGUUCUUUUACAUUCAUUUUAUCCAGGCACUUGGUAGACAUACAGCAAUAGAGAACAACAAGUGCCGUAGGUUAAUGAUUGAUCGUUAAUCUAUCUGUGUUCAGAGACUGAGUCACGGAGCUGGAGUGUAGCAUGAAAUAAAAUUUUUGAUUAAACUCAAUAAUGAGAAGAUACUUUAUUACAGAAAAAAGGGAUGAUUCACUUUAUUUGGGAAAUGCAUCUCAACAAAGCUAUAUAUUACAAUGUAUUAUAUAUUUUACAAUAUUGCAGUGGCACUGAAAGGUUAAGUAUGUUCUCAUGUCUGCCGCUCCCUGGAAUGUUUGGUAGUUAUGACCAGUUUUAUUAGCCAUUAAGAUUCACUCAAAUGUUCCUUCAAUUUAGCUUGGAAUAUUUGCCUCCUCCUAUUAGCUCUUCAGUCCUGUUCCAUUCAGUUUUUUACCUCUACAGUAUUAGCGUCUUCUCAAUCCUGACAUUACAACACAUCCAUAGAGUCCUGUCAUGAAGCAUCACUGGGAAAUAGACAAAAUAUGAAUAGAAAGCUGGUCUGUGUUAACACUGAUCCAUAUCACAUGUACCACAACAGAUGUUCUUCCAGUCAUGAUCCAUUUCCUAUGAAAAUAUGUUUGAAUGUAGAAAAAACUCAUAAGAGUUAUACUUUUCGGCUAUAAUAUAUACCCAAAAAGUUAUAUUAAAAAUUACAAAUUAAUUGUAAUUUGAACUCAAAUUACAAUUAAUUGUCAAGUUACUUUCAUUAGCAUUAGUUCCAGUCUAUUAACUGGUCACGUCCGUUGGACUUUCUUUUAGUGUUGUAGUUUGGCCGCCAUCCAGCAGAGGGCGCCGCUGGUUAUCCUUAAACGGAGCCGUUGAUGUAGAAACAAAGAUGGCGGCCACACCAGAACGUCAAAAGAAAGAAACGGUCCUAACAGAGUCAGCAGUAGGCAGUGUAGUGGCCCGACCCAAAUCCCUUCCCAUGAUGCAUCACGACAGCAGAGAGCUCGUAGAGGAAGUGCUUGGGGCGGGGAGACCCUGCGGCGCUGGGGCUGCAGUAGGGCUCCAUGUUGAGGAGCUGGUCGAAGCUGACGUGGACUCCGAUCUUCUCCCGGUGGUUCCGCCCGGACCACCUGACCAUCAGACACAGUGGAGCCUGAGGACCUGAGGCAGUUUAAAGACCAUCAGCUGUUUCUUUGCUUCGGUCAAGAUGACUGUUUUGGAGCAUGUGCGUCGUCGGGCUGCUGCAAGAGGAAGAUCAUUGUAAAACGAGGCUGAAGGCUGGAGAGGUGCUGAAGGUGGAAGAGUUUAAGCACCUUGGCUCAACCCUUCAAAGCUGAUGUCUGUGCAGAAAAGAAGUGAAGAAGAAGAAGAAAGGAGGCCGGGUGGAGUGGAAGGAGACGACUGUCAAGGGUGAUUUGUGAUGAAGCACAAAGCUGUGAGAGUGACGGCGAAGAUUUACAAGACAGCAGUGAGAUCUGCUCUGAGCGUAUGAACGAGGCAAACAGCCUCCUUGGUGUAAAGUAUUUGUGCAGCUGUCUUGGUUUUGCUCUGGAGCCUCUGGUUCAGGGGUGAAGGCUAAUUACAGAGGUGGAGAAAGAGCAGCCAGCUGAGCAGCAGGAGAAAACAGCUGGUCUGUCAAAGUCCUGCCUGACCUCUUCUAAGAUCUGGCUCAUCAGCUGAGGUGUCACAGGUCAAAGGUCAGGCUCCCUGCACAACUGCAAGAAAGCCACAAACCAAGGGAGGAAAACAAAAUGUUGUUUACACACAGCGCUCCAGCAGCUGUCAGAAACAAUUUGUAGAAAUGACCGCCAGGCUCCCAGCUGCAGAGCGGCUCCCGACUCACACGGUUCCAAUUAAACAUCAGUGGAUCUCAGGAAGCUCUGCAGCGCUGCAGUCAAAGUGUGCCAGGUGAUUAAACACUCAAUCACCUGGCUCUGCUCUCGUUCUGCUUCCUACGCCACUCGCCUGUAGCGUGACUGAGCCAACACGGGAAAAUCGCUGAUUCUGCAGCAGGGAUUACCGUCCACACGCGACAGGUGUGGUUCCGCCCCCCGCUCCACCUGUUGCAUGUUUGUUUUUCUGGUGUUUCUCUUUCUGCUAAAGACUGGAUGAAACAACUUCAGGGAUAAACUCCAGAGUACUUAGAGGUGCAGCCGGCUCCAUCCCGGCCUCCGCCUGCUUUUCCCUCCUCCAGCCCAAAGGUGGCGCUGC